rfam:Felis catus isolate Cinnamon breed Abyssinian chromosome B3, whole genome shotgun sequence.
UUUUUAGCAUAAGUAUAUCCCUUGCAAGAUUUGGGACAUACUUACACUAAAA